GCAGGACACAUUGAACAUCGACAUCUUGAACGCAUAUUGCGGCCUAGGGUCACUCCCUUGGCCACGCCUGUCUCAGGGUCGGUGAAACAAACUUCGCAAGCCAAUUGCUCUGUAUUGGGGCUUGCGCAUUGGGCUGUCGAAGUCCCCCCCUCAACGGGGACUCCGUCGCCUCAAGUUCAGACCCGAUUGCUUCGGCACGUCGCGUCUUGCGGUCUCGACCACAUAUGACGUAGCUCGCUGUAUCUGAUAUAAACAAAAAAAGCACUACGCCGGUCGUCCGAUUGCGAGUCGUGUCGCCGAAAGCGAUCGAAAGAGAAAGACAUUAGAAAACUCUCACCUCCGACCUGAGAUCAGACGAGACAACCCCCUGAAUUUAAGCAUAUCACUAAGGGGAGGAAAAGAAACUAACUAGGAUUCCCUCAGUAACGGCGAGUGAAGCGGGAAAAGCCCAGCACCGAAUCCCUCGGCCUUGCGCCGCUGGGACCUGUGGUGUUUAGGACGCCUCACUGCGGUGGGGUACGGGUGCCCAAGUCCUUCUGAUCGGGGCCUCUCCCAUAGCGGGUGUCAGGCCUUUACGGGCACUCGUCCUUCUGCUAAGAACGUCCUUGG
rnacentral:rRNA from 1 species